rfam:Triticum aestivum genome assembly, contig: Triticum_aestivum_CS42_TGACv1_scaffold_641680_T_2BS-0.082998_5DL-0.053206
AUUCUACUCCCUCCGUUGCACAAUACAUGCCUUCUAUUUGUCAAAAUAUAUAUGUAUCUAGACAUGUUUUAGUAUAUAGGUACAUCCAUUUUUGGACAAAUGGAAGUCAAGUAUUUUCGAAUGGAGGGAGUACACA